CGUUGUCUUACGCAUAACUGGUCAUGAGGCAAAAAAGUAUUUUAAUUUCUCACGUUGUGAAGUUGCCAUUCGGUAGUUGCUCAAAAUUCAGGGAAGGAUGAAUUUUAUAAAAAGGCGGUCAGUUUUUUGUCGACCAAUUUCAUGGUACUCAUCCUUCCAUUCUUGUAUGAUGUUUGGGCGAAUUAGACGUAGAGCAUCAUCGAUGGAAAAGAUUAUAUUUUAAAAUUGAGCCUCACGCGCAUAUCAGCCCUUUCAUUUAAACUGUAACCGCAAUAGUCUUGGUACUCAGUUCAAGUGGCAUUCAUCAAGCAGAGAAUCAUUUAAAAUAUCAUAGAUGUCAAAAACACACAUGUUAUUCGGAUCUUUGUUUUUGAUUAACAUUAACGCCGAUUUGCUGUCAGAGAAGAUAACGAAUUUUAAUGUCCCUAGGAGUAAUUAUCGGGAUAUCUAUCUACCGAAAGGCUGGAAUUUAUGGAACCGCCUGUGGCAAGUCAUUCUCUCGGUAGUAAUUUAAUUGUUGCGGUUAUGCAGAUCGAAGACUUGAGUAAGGUAAACUGACUUCCCAUUCAAAAGCAAUAUUAUAGAUUUGAGGAAACUUAGAGCUAAAGUACUACCAGUCCUGGAAUGGUCGUUAGAGUGGAGGGUUUUGCCCCUAUUGUUCGAGACAGUGUCGGCAAAGUAAGUGUGUCUCGAAUUGAAAUCACUAGCAAGAACUACCUUAUGGAAAUCACAAACUUGUUGCAUUCCGUGACGGGAAAUGAAACGUAUCUACUUUCGUCGAUUGUUUGUUUAUCACUUGAAGACGCUUCCGGGUUGAAGGAUUCGAAAAUCCCAGCACAAACAUUGAAAAUAAUAAAGAAAUAGGGCAUGCCUAGAGGGAAAAUUAGUGCUCCGGUACAAGUGAAGGCGGCGUGUGAGCGACCUAAGUAAGAGUAAUAAAGCACUAAACCAACAACAACAAGUGCUAAAAAGGAAAGGAGGACGCACCCGUCCUUUCAAUGGUCGCGGUGCGUUGUUAAUGCAUAUCGCCAAAAUCUAUGAUAUAAUGACGAAAUGGAAAUAACUGGUGAAGAGGAAAUCUUGUUUAUAGAUAUAGGGACGGACGAUAACAAAUACAAUAAUGAGCUUGGACGUACAAGAAAAGAAAUGGUAAUUAUUAAACUUUGAAACGGAAACUAGAAACGAAUCAUUGAAAGAAGAAGAAGGGCAAAUAAUCAGAGAUUAGCAAGAGCGCAGGAACGCAGUCAUACAUAAGAAAGCCGGCCCUCAAAGCGCAAUCAAGCGGUACGUACCAAGUAAUCCUUGCAGAAAAUUUCGAGUGGAGCGUUAAGAAAACAAAACAGAGAAACUGAAGUCCCCAAAAACACCCAAAUUAAACAUCGAGUCAGAAAAAAGCUGCGGAAAAUAGCCAAAACCGGAAAACGAUAACGAGAGCACGACUUAGGCAAGAUUUACAGGAUUUACAACAGAAUUGGGGUUACAGAGAUUGCCAAAUUCUUUGGUAAAAAGUACUCCAUAUCUUCAACACGCACUGGAUUUUCGAAAAAACCCAAGUUAUUUUGUCAAAUAUAAACUUUGUAAUCAACCUUGGCCGCCUAGAGAAAUUCGAGGAAAAAACUUGUAUUCACUCAUAUCCAACCAUUGAAUAAGCAACAGAGGCUUAGCGCAUCUAUUGUGUCUUAUACCCAGCACUGUAAGAUGGGGGUAAACUCAUUUUGUUUUUUUUC